rnacentral:rRNA from 1 species
UACGGGGGGGGCAAGCGUUGUUCGGAAGUACUGGGCGUAAAGGGCGCGUAGGCGGCUUUUCAAGUCGGGCGUGAAAUCUCCGGGCUUAACCCGGAAGGGUCGUUCGAUACUGUUGAGCUAGAGUGUGGAAGAGGCAACUAGAAUUCCGUGUGUAGCGGUGAAAUGCGUAGAUAUACGGAGGAAUACCUGAGGCGAAGGCGGGUUGCUGGGCCAACACUGACGCUGAAGUGCGAAAGCCAGGGGAGCAAACGGG